UGGGGAAUUUUGGACAAUGGGCGAAAGCCUGAUCCAGCAAUGCCGCGUGUGUGAAGAAGGCCUUCGGGUUGUAAAGCACUUUUGUCCGGAAAGAAAUCCUUGGCUCUAAUACAGUCGGGGGAUGACGGUACCGGAAGAAUAAGCACCGGCUAACUACGUGCCAGCAGCCGCGGUAAUACGUAGGGUGCAAGCGUUAAUCGGAAUUACUGGGCGUAAAGCGUGCGCAGGCGGUUUGCUAAGACCGAUGUGAAAUCCCCGGGCUCAACCUGGGAACUGCAUUGGUGACUGGCAGGCUAGAGUAUGGCAGAGGGGGGUAGAAUUCCACGUGUAGCAGUGAAAUGCGUAGAGAUGUGGAGGAAUACCGAUGGCGAAGGCAGCCCCCUGGGCCAAUACUGACGCUCAUGCACGAAAGCGUGGGGAGCAAACAGGAUUAGAUACCCUGGUAGUCCACGCCCUAAACGAUGUCAACUAGUUGUUGGGGAUUCAUUUCAUUAGUAACGUAGCUAACGCGUGAAGUUGACCGCCUGGGGAGUACGGUCGCAAGAUUAAAACUCAAAGGAAUUGACGGGGUCAUAGCUGUUUCCU
rnacentral:rRNA from 1 species